rnacentral:rRNA from 1 species
UCAAGCUAAAAAGGGCGCAAGGUGAAUGCCUUGGCACUGGGAGCCGAUGAAAGACGUGGUAAGCUGCGAAAAGCUUCGGGGAGGAGCAAACAUCCAUUGAUCCGGAGAUAUCUGAAUGGGGCAACCCAAUGGAGUUCAUACUCCAUUAUCCAAUACUGAAUCCAUAGGUAUUGGAAGGGAACCGCCUGAACUGAAACAUCUAAGUAGGGCGAGGAAGAGACAUCAAACGAGAUUCCGUAAGUAGUGGCGAGCGAACGCGGAAGAGGGCAAACCGAGAGGAGAAAUCCUUUCGGGGUACGGACUGCUUUUAGGACUGAAAGAGUUAACAGAAUGGCAUGGGAAGGCCAACCAAAGAGUGUGAGAGUCACGUAAGUAAAAAUUCUGACAGCUGCGCAGGAUCCAGAGUACGGCCAGACACGUGAAACCUGGUCGGAACAUGGGGGGACCACCCUCCAACCCUAAAUACUACCCAGUGACCGAUAGCGUAUAGUACUGUGAAGGAAAGGUGAAAAGGACCCCGGGAGGGGAGUGAAAGAGAACCUGAAACCUUGUGCCUACAAGCACAUAGAGCCCGUCAAAGGGUGAUAUGGUACUUUUUGUAGAACGGUCCGGCGAGCGAUUGUACGUUGCGAGCUUAAGGUCUUAAGGACUGGAGGCGUAGCGAGAGCGAGUCUAAACAGGGCGUUUAGUAGCGUGCAAUGGGCCCGAAACCGGGUGACCUACCCAUGAUCAGGCUGAAGUGAAAGUAAAAUUUCAUGGAGGGCCGAACCGACCUCCGUUGAAAAGGCGGCGGAUGAAUUGUGGGUAGCGGAGAAAUUCCAAUCGAACUCGGAGAUAGCUGGUUCUCCCCGAAAUAGCUUUAGGGCUAGCCUCAUGUUAGAUAUCCGGAGGUAAAGCACUGAAUGGCCUAGCGUCCGAGAGGAUAGCGAAGCCUAUCAAACUAAGAAUGCCGGAAUAUUGAUGCAUGGGAGUCAGACAGUGUGAGAUAAAUCUCAUUGUCAAAAGGGAAACAGCCCAGAUCUACAGCUAAGGUCCCAAAUUGUAUCUAAGUGGAAAACGAUGUGGAAAUACGCAGACAACCAGGAUGUUGGCUCAGAAGCAGCCACUCAUUUAAAGAGUGCGUAAUAGCUCACUGGUCGAGCGUCUCUGCGCGGAAAAUUUAACGGGGCUAAGAUACAAACCGAAGCUUAGGCUGCAUACGGAAGUAUGCGGGGUAGGGGAGCGUUGUGUAAGCGGAGAAACAGUAGCGGAAGCGGCUGUGGAGUUUACAGAAGUGAGAAUGCCGGAAUGAGUAGCGCGAAUGAUGUGAGAAUCAUCAUGGCCGGAAACCUCAGGUUUUUGGAGGAAGGUUCGUCCGCUCCAAGUUAGGCGGGAGCUAAGGUGAGGCCGAAAGGCGUAGCCGAUGCACAGACGGUAGAGAUUCCGUCCCCACCGAAAGAUUUAAGCGCAGGGACACUUUUAGAAGGUCGGAGCCAGGUGUUGGUUCUGGUAGAGAUCGAGGGAAGAUUAGUACCGAAGUCCGGCUGGAUAAGAGGCGAGAAAAGCUGCGUGUAUAUCUAAGGUGCCCGUACCGCAAACCGACACAGGUAGGUAGGAAGAAGAUUCUAAGGCCAACGGGAGAAGGGUUGUUAAGGAACUCGGCAAGUUGACCCCGUAACUUCGGAAUAAGGGGUGCUCAUGAAAGUGAGCCGCAGAGAAUAGGCCCAGGCAACUGUUUACCAAAAACACAGGUUUGUGCUAAAUCGAAAGAUGACGUAUACGAGCUGACGCCUGCCCGGUGCUGGAAGGUUAAGAGGAGAUGUGCAAGCAUUGAAUCGAAGCCCCAGUGAACGGCGGCCGUAACUAUAACGGUCCUAAGGUAGCGAAAUUCCUUGUCAGGUA